rnacentral:misc_RNA from 1 species
UCAUUAUCAACCAUCAAGCUCUGCUUGGCAUUGAUUGUCACCCCCCUCCCCGGGGGCGCGAUCUAAACUGGUCGGCUGUGGUCUGUGAACCGUUGGCGUUAGUAAAAAACUUCCCGCUACUCGGUAACAGGUCGCAAGCCUCCAAAACCCAACACCUCAAGGUUGACCUCGGAUCAGGUAGGGAUACCCGCUGAACUUAA